rnacentral:rRNA from 1 species
UAGGGAAGAAGCGAAAGUGACGGUACCUGCAGAAGAAGCGCCGGCUAACUACGUGCCAGCAGCCGCGGUAAUACGUAGGGCGCAAGCGUUAUCCGGAAUUAUUGGGCGUAAAGAGCUCGUAGGCGGUUUGUCGCGUCUGCUGUGAAAGACCGGGGCUCAACUCCGGUUCUGCAGUGGGUACGGGCAGACUAGAGUGAUGUAGGGGAGACUGGAAUUCCUGGUGUAGCGGUGAAAUGCGCAGAUAUCAGGAGGAACACCGAUGGCGAAGGCAGGUCUCUGGGCAUUAACUGACGCUGAGGAGCGAAAGCAUGGGGAGCGAACAGGAUUAGAUACCCUGGUAGUCCAUGCCGUAAACGUUGGGCACUAGGUGUGGGGGACAUUCCACGUUUUCCGCGCCGUAGCUAACGCAUUAAGUGCCCCGCCUGGGGAGUACGGCCGCAAGGCUAAAACUCAAAGGAAUUGACGGGGGCCCGCACAAGCGGCGGAGCAUGCGGAUUAAUUCGAUGCAACGCGAAGAACCUUACCAAGGCUUGACAUGAACCGGUAAUACCUGGAAACAGGUGCCCCGCUUGCGGUCGGUUUACAGGUGGUGCAUGGUUGUCGUCAGCUCGUGUCGUGAGAUGUUGGGUUAAGUCCCGCAACGAGCGCAACCCUCGUUCUAUGUUGCCAGCGCGUUAUGGCGGGGACUCAUAGGAGACUGCCGGGGUCAACUCGGAGGAAGGUGGGGACGACGUCAAAUCAUCAUGCCCCUUAUGUCUUGGGCUUCACGCAUGCUACAAUGGCCGGUACAAAGGGUUGCGAUACUGUGAGGUGGAGCUAAUCCCAAAAAGCCGGUCUCAGUUCGGAUUGGGGUCUGCAACUCGACCCCAUGAAGUCGGAGUCGCUAGUAAUCGCAGAUCAGCAACGCUGCGGUGAAUACGUUCCCGGGCCUUGUACACACCGCCCGUCAAGUCACGAAAGUUGGUAACACCCGAAGCCGGUGGCCU